CAAGACUGCAUUUCCAGCCAGCUCCAAAGUAAUGCUGAUAACCACAGUGAGCACCAAAGCCAAAUGCCAAAAACCAAAAAGGAUGGCAAGAAUCAACCACAGGGGACAUCAGAGGACCACAGGUGGAGGAGAAGAGGCGAAAGUGGAAGCAACACAGGAUUACUCUGGAUGCUAUGCUGAGAAGAAACUGAAGACAAUGGUGGAAGUGGGAAAGCUUAUGACUCAGAAUAACUAUGUCUAAUAACAAAUUUUAAGUUCUCUUCAUGUUCCAGGUAUUAAGAAGAAAGAAUCUGAGAAAUUAUGGCGUACUCAACUGUGGACAGCUGAAAGUCUGGCAUAGCGUGCCCUCAUCAUCACAAAUGGGCUCGCAUUACAAGCUACACUUAUUUGACAACUAUCAGCAUUUGUCAACUGGCACUCAGAUUUGAAGCCUCAUUUCACAACUGGAGCAAGAGAGGACAGGAAGGAAAAAUCAGAGUAAGGUUUCAAUGAGUUUCUGCAAAUUCUCAGAAGUUUUGCUGCC
rnacentral:lncRNA from 1 species